CAAAUAAAACUCUUGGAUGAUAAAUCCAUAAUGGGUGGCAACCCUUAAAUCAUGAACAACAAAUCCAUGAGAGGAUUCCUGUUUAACAAAGCUCUGCCGAGCAAAAGGAAAUCCUUUGAAAUGGAAAUGGUUUGGAGGGUUAAUUCAAAAAAAUGUACAGAAAAAAAAAAAGCGUGAAUUACCUCCUGGGAUCUCUCACCACUCCUCUCCAUCUCUGCUUGAGAAGG
rnacentral:lncRNA from 1 species